UGGGGAAUAUUGCACAAUGGGCGCAAGCCUGAUGCAGCCAUGCCGCGUGUAUGAAGAAGGCCUUCGGGUUGUAACGUACUUUCAGCGGGGAGGAAGGGAGUAAAGUUAAUACCUUUGCUCAUUGACGUUACCCGCAGAAGAAGCACCGGCUAACUCCGUGCCAGCAGCCGCGGUAAUACGGAGGGUGCAAGCGUUAAUCGGAAUUACUGGGCGUAAAGCGCACGCAGGCGGUCUGUCAAGUCGGAUGUGAAAUCCCCGGGCUCAACCUGGGAACUGCAUUCGAAACUGGCAGGCUAGAGUCUUGUAGAGGGGGGUAGAAUUCCAGGUGUAGCGGUGAAAUGCGUAGAGAUCUGGAGGAAUACCGGUGGCGAAGGCGGCCCCCUGGACAAAGACUGACGCUCAGGUGCGAAAGCGUGGGGAGCAAACAGG
rnacentral:rRNA from 1 species